ensembl:lncRNA
GUCGUUGAGGAGAUACUUGCGUGCAAAUACGUUUUCUCUUGAGCAGUGCUUACUUUCCAACCAAAUGCUUAAUGCGCAGGUCUGUGCCUUUUUUUUUUCCAAAGGUAAAAAGUGUCCUAGUGGGAGAAGAAAAAUAUCAAAAUGAUUUCCCUAAAGUGUUUUUAUAAUAAUCAUUUUCCUUAAACAUAAAAAAGUUGCAGUAAUGCAUCCAGCUCUAGAUAUGACGGGAAAACUAAAAGCCAGAUUCUAGAGCCAAAGAGGAAAUGACAUCCGGAAAUACUCUCACUGAUUUACUACCUUUUAAAUAGAAGAAAUAGCAACGAACGUCAGGAAUGUGUUUGCUUCAAGAAUGAGCUUUUUCCUUGUGGUACUUCAUUCUGGCUCUAAAAAUAACUUUCAGAUGAAGUGAAAAGAGGACGUGUUUAUUUUUUUAUAGAAAAUAAAAACCAGCUUGUUUUGUCACCUACUUGAUACCAUGUCAUUAUGCCAGCUUUCUGUGUUUUUGAAUCUUUUUUAAAAAGAAAUAAUAUUAAGCUGAAGAAAAGACUCAGGAAUAAUGCAGACAUCUGCCCACCUCUUACCCAGGUGCACCUAUUGUUACCUCCCGUUUUGAGUGGCUCUUUUCCAAAUCUGAUUACACUGAGCACUUGAACACAAGUUAGUCACACCGCGUUGGUGUGUGUUUCACGGGCGCAUCCUUGUUUCCAGCGAGGACGCUUUGGCCAGUCCACCCAGUCCUCUUAGGGCGAUGGGAGCCAAGUGGCCUUUCUCUUGUAAUCCCAAGAGGGACCAUUCCAUUUGUUGGUAGAAUAGUCGGUGAAGCUCCCAGUUAUUCUACCUAAUGGAUAAAUUAAAAAACGAUAAAGAAACCUUAUUUAGGUUUUUGGGUUUUUUUGCUUUUUAGGUUUGCGCCCACGGCAUAUGGAAGUUCUCAGGCUGGGAGCUGAAUGAGAAGUGCAGCUUGCAGGCCUUCGCCACAGACGCAGCAGCGAGGGAUCCCAGCUGGCCCUGUGACCUACACCACGGCUCAUGGCAAUGCUGGAUCCCUGACCUACUGAGCGAGGCCAGGGAGCAAACCCACAUCCUCAUGGAUACAAGUCAGAUUCAUUCCGCUGAGCCACAAUGGGAACUCCCAGUAAGUCUUUAUUAAUAGGUAUACAUUUAAAAGUGAGAGUCCCAUUUUCCAAUCUCACUGUCCCUUUCGCAACUAACAGUAUCUUGUAUAUCUUUCCAGAAAUAUUCUCUGACUAUACAGAGAUGUAUAGCCAUCAUUAUAGUGAAAGGCACUUGGUUAUAGACAUACAUAGAAAUAUAAAUAACCGGUAAAUUGAAUUACAGAUGGAGAUUUAGAAAUCUGCUUCCAUACAUACUUUUACUCGUCUGCAGCUUGCUCUUUCCAUGUGGCGCUGUAUCUGAAUUAGCUUGUGCUAUUAGGCUAAGUAGAUCUACUCCAGUCUUUGUAAAAACUGUAUAAUAUUUCAUUGCAUGUUUUUGCUGUGAUAUUUAAAUCUAUACCCUAAUUGAAAAGCAUUUAAUUUUUCCUUUUUGCACUGUACUGUUACAAAACUAGCGAACACCCCUCUCUUAUCUGAGAGUUUCUGGAAAAUAAAUUUCUAGCAGGGUAUUUGUGCAUUUAAAUUGCGGUACUGAUUGUGAAAUACUUUUGAUAAUGGUUCUUUGAUGUGUCCUGUGUUGGCAACGUAGUGUGCAUUCAGAAAUGUUUGUGGGAGGGAGGGAGGGAAGGAGGGAAGUCAGCGGGGCUUGUCUCUUGGGGACAGUUUCCUUUCCCUAAGGGAAGGAGGAGGGGGACCUUUCAGGCAGGGUUAGGAUUGCCUUUACCCACCGGUUCUCCACUGUGCUUUCUAUCUUUGCAUUUGCACACUUUUCAACCCUGUGUAGUUUUCCAUCUUUUUCCAAUGUCCGUCUCCUUAGACAAGCAAGAGGCACCGUAGGAUGAAGACCGUGCCUGUCUUGCCCGUCGCUGUGUUCUCUCUGCGUGAGGAUGUCGAGAUGCUCGGCAUUUGAUGAAAGCAAAACAAACAAAACAAAAGUGGGGGAGAGAAAUAGUGGCACAGAGAUGGAAAUAGACACACACACUCAGAGACAGAGAGAAAGUGAGGAAGGGCAGGAGUGGAGGAGGGAGUGGGGAGAGAGCCGAGAGAAGGGUGAUGCUGCCAGGGGUUGGAGCUGUAAAUGGGGGAGAAACAGUUGCAAAUCAAUGGUAAGAAAGAAAAACCCUCCCAGAUGUAAGCCAUGAAAAAACAGCUAAAAAUCAGUGGUAAGAAAGAAAAAACUCACAGAUGCAGGCAGAUAUGUGAGGGAUGUAGUUCCCUGUACAGCACAGGAACUAUAUCCAAUCUCUUAGGAUAGCACAUGAUGAAAGAUAAUAUGAGUAAAGAAUGUAUGUAUGUGUCACACAUAUAUGUAUGCGUGUGGACAUAUAGAUGUUUACACGUGCACGUGUGUAUGACUGAGGCGCUAUGCUGACAGCAGAAAUCGGCACAACAUGUAAAUCAACUACACUUUACUAACUAAAUAAAUGGAAAGAAAAGAAUCGCAAUAUUUUCCGGCUUUAGAAUCGGGAAACGUUGGGUUAUUUUUCAGAAAGCCAGAGGCAUUGGCCGUAGCUUGAUUUCUGACUGCAGAGUGAGAGCUAUCAGUGUGGAAGGGCAUGGGUCCAGAAUUAAAAGGGUCGUUUGGAGAAUUUGCUUUUCCGUUUAAGAGAACUGAGAAGAUAUCACUGUAAAGGUGAAAUACCUGCUUUCCAUUCCUAAUGCUGUGGGACCAGAAAUGUAAUUUCAAUCAUGAACCCUCACAGUGGGGGCAGCUUGGAAGUUGCAUUGGACCCGAAGCUCAUGUAAUGCAGCAGCAUGAAGAUUCUAUGAGGUGGUUUUGCUUAUUUUUAUUUUAGAAUAGAGUGUGCUGUAGUGGAGACAUUUGUAAAAUGUUUCCUAGCUGAACUUUCUUUUUAAAUCUACUAUAUUAUAAUUAUAUAACUCUCCAUCUAUGUAUACAUAUAAAAUAUUUGUAUAAAAAACUAUGAGGGAUGAGACAUUCACAUUAAAAAUGAACCAUCUUGGGAGUUCCCUUGCGAGUCAGUGGGUUAAAGACCUGGCAUUGUUUCUGCUGUGGCUCUGGUUACAGCCAUGGCAUGGGUUCCAUCCCUGGCCUAGGAACUUCCACAUGCCACGGAUGCAGCUGGAAAAAAAAAAAAAAA